GAGAGAGAGAGAGAGAGAGAAGAAUAAUAAGAAAAGAAGAAAAAAUACAUUCCAGGUUUGUUUGAGAUCUCUCCCUUCACUCCUCUUCUUCUUCUUGUUCUUCUUCUCAUGGCUUGUUUAAACGAUCAGAGCUGGGCUCCUUCUCUUCCUGAAAUGGUAUUCGUACGCUUAUCUUUCAAAGAGGAUAUAGAAAAUGGAGAACCAGAUACCAAUUCUACACCUUUCCCAUUUGAGAAGGUCUUUCCCGUUUAUGCAAUGGGGUUUUCCAAGCCCGACUCCGACCCUGUUGUAUUGGCUUCUGCCGAAUCGGCUGACCCGAUUUGGGACGCUGUGAGAGAAGAGGCCAAGUUGGAGGCAGAAAAAGAACCAAUUCUAAGUAGCUUCUUGUACGCCAGUAUCUUGUCCCACGAUUGCUUAGAGCAAGCAUUGGCAUUUGUUCUUGCAAAUCGGCUUCAAAAUCCUACUCUCUUGGCAACUCAAUUAUUAGAUACAAUUUCUUAUGUAAUGAUGCAUGAUAGAGGUAUUCAGCAUUCAAUUCGAUUAGAUGUGCAGGCAUUCAAAGAUCGGGAUCCUGCUUGUUUAUCAUAUUGUUCAGCUUUACUGUAUCUUAAGGGUUACCAUUCUCUGCAAUCCUAUCGAGUAGCACAUGUUUUGUGGAACCAAGGGCGAAAAGUAUUGGCCUUGGCAUUACAGAGUCGAAUUAGUGAGGUUUUUGGAGUUGACAUACAUCCAGCUGCCAAAAUUGGAGAGGGUAUAUUAUUGGAUCAUGGGACUGGUGUGGUUAUUGGUGAAACUGCUGUUGUAGGAAACAGGGUAUCGAUGAUGCAUGGUGUUACUUUAGGAGGGACUGGCAAAGAAGUAGGUAAUCGCCAUCCAAAAGUAGGUGAUGGUGCACUUAUUGGAGCAUGUUCAACAAUACUUGGGAAUAUAAAAAUAGGUGAAGGGGCUAUGAUAGCUGCUGGUUCUCUUGUAUUAAAGAAUGUUGAUCCACACAGCAUGGUGGCAGGAACACCUGCAAAGGUCAUAGGGUAUGUAGGUGAGAAAGAUCCAUCCCUCACAAUGAAGCAUGGUACGUCAUUUUUUUCAGAACAGGUGUCACUUUCUCCUACUCUACAUGACUUUACUAUUUGCUUUUGAGACUGAGGUGCUUGUCUCAGCAUUUCACAGAAACUUUUAUGACAUAGACAUCUGUUCGCUUUUUCUAGUUCAAUGGUUUAAUGUUUGGAAGUUGGCAUUGCCAUCAUUGGAGAACAAGUUUGCCUUUGUAGUGUAUUUAUUAAGGCAUAUAGAAAUACUUAUUAGAUAAUUGAAUCGUUUGAAGAUUGCUUGGGCCAAAAAUAUGGACCUGGUUAGGUAUUCCAAUUUUAUCUAGAGCACAGUAUUUUCCAGUCAUGGCAGAAUAUGUAGUAAAAAUCUGCUCUUAGGAUAGUGAAUGACUGUUGUGAAAGAAAUCUAAUAGGUGAAAUAUGCGCCUAACAUUCCUGAAUGUGUGGUUGCUUUGGCAUUUAAAAUAUGAUGGAAGACUUCAGAUUCUUAUUAUGAACAAUUUUGGAAUGUGCAGAUGCUUCAAAAGAAAUCUUUGAACAUCUAGCUAUUACUUUUAGAGAGAGAAAAUCCUGUGGUAAGUGUCAUUUUGCUUUUGUUUUUGUAUUUCAUUUGUUUCUUAAAAAUAAAAUUGUCAACGAAACUAGCAAAUUUGUGAUGAUGUAACAUAAGCAUACAAAUUUUCGUUUCAGCGGCUCUGGAUCAGGGGAAAAAUGAUGAAGAGACUUAAGAGACCUCUGGCAGUGCAAGUUCUCUAGUGGGGAUGUUAUUUUACAAAAUAACUGAAGAUAAAUUCAUGAUAGUUGUAAUAGGUGAUCUCUUGUAGUCGCAGUAGUCAAAUAUAAGCUGAGAUGUUGGGGCUCAAAUUUUUUCCCACUGUUCAGGUUGAAGAACCUGGGUUUUGUGUCCUGUUUCCGUUGACUUAGGGGUGAGCAGAUUUCUGUUUAAACUAAAAAAACGAACUGAGUCAAUUCGGUUUGGUUUAUAAAUUUUGAUAAUUUCG
rnacentral:misc_RNA from 1 species